rnacentral:lncRNA from 1 species
UGAUGCAAAACCAAUCAACGAAACAUAUUAGAAAGAAGGAACCAUAUUAACAAGAACAAACCCACAAAUAUCCUUAAAUAUAAUUCAGUCACAAUUUAAACUUUAAAAACAAAAUCAUUUAUUCAUGGAUACAAGACUUAAUCUGAUAAAAAUUAAAUCAAUAAUGGAGUAUCGGAGGAGAACGAUUCGAUUUUUUGUGACCUCGGGCUGUUCGAUCCACCGUGAUCUCAUAAUCUCCACCGACACAGGGUCUCAACGGCGACUAACGGGCCAUCGUUACCGACUGAUUCCAUCUGUUUCCCAGAUCCGGUAAGCUUUUCUGGCGCUAGACAACGAACUUGUAUCCACUGUAAAUUUUGCUUUCAACUCACCCUUCUGGAUUGUUGUUCUUCUUAUUGGCAUGCUUCGGUGAGUUGGUUAGGUGUAGAUUCAACGUUUAUUCUGAGCUGAUUCUUUGACUUUGUAGUUUCGGGAAUUCAAACUAUCUGUGGGUUAAUUUUAAUCUGUAAAAUGCUCUUUGCUUCUUUGACUGCAUAAUUUUUGCUAUAGACAAUCGGUGCUUUAGGUCAUUAAAGGGGAGCAGAUUCUUAAACCUUUUUUUGUUUUUAUCACAAUGAACAAUGAUCAUCAGGAUCCUCGGAGGUGUCUCUUUUGUUUGGAAUUUUCAAAGAUGUAAUGAAACCUUUGUUUGAAAUAAGAAAGGAAAACAAUAGAUGUGCUAACUUUAAUUGCCAUUGUUUACUGCGUUUGCUCCUUCUUGGCCAUUCUUUGGCAUGCCUUGACCUGAGGAGCAUUGACAUUUCGUCACAUCUUUUAUGUAUGACUUUUGAUCCGGCUCAUUGAACUUUUCCCACAAUACUCGCAGGUUCCUUUGAUUUGGGUUCUCCUUCAAGAAUUGAUACACAAAUUUCAACAAUGCCAUAGUGCAAACUAUGGCGGCAACAAGGAAUAAAACCCAAAAACU